rnacentral:rRNA from 1 species
UGCCGGCGAGUGGCGAACGGGUGAGUAAUGCAUCGGAACGUACCGAGUAAUGGGGGAUAACUGUCCGAAAGGACAGCUAAUACCGCAUACGCCCUGAGGGGGAAAGCGGGGGAUCUUAGGACCUCGCGUUAUUCGAGCGGCCGAUGUCUGAUUAGCUAGUUGGUGGGGUAAAGGCCUACCAAGGCGACGAUCAGUAGCGGGUCUGAGAGGACGAUCCGCCACACUGGGACUGAGACACGGCCCAGACUCC